ACGAGUAAAUUGAACGGGUUGUAAGCUGACUUUCUCUUCUCAAGAGGGGAAGGUAUGUGCACGCCUGGCUCAUCCACUCUUCAACCCCUGUGCACUUAUUGUAGGUUUUGGUGGAAGGGCAUAUAAGUCCUAAUAUUUUUUUAUUAGACUUUAGCUUGGAAACCUUUCCUAUGUCUUUUUACAAACGCUUCAGUUAUAAGAAUGUUAUGUCUGCGUGUGUAGCGCAUAUGUUAUUAUAUA
rnacentral:misc_RNA from 1 species